rnacentral:rRNA from 1 species
GACGAACGCUGGCGGCGUGCUUAACACAUGCAAGUCGAACGGAAAGGCCCUGCUUUUGUGGGGUGCUCGAGUGGCGAACGGGUGAGUAACACGUGAGUAACCUGCCCUUGACUUUGGGAUAACUUCAGGAAACUGGGGCUAAUACCGGAUAGGAGCUCCUGCUGCAUGGUGGGGGUUGGAAAGUUUCGGCGGUUGGGGAUGGACUCGCGGCUUAUCAGCUUGUUGGUGGGGUAGUGGCUUACCAAGGCUUUGACGGGUAGCCGGCCUGAGAGGGUGACCGGCCUCAUUGGGACUGAGAUACGGCCCAGACUCCUACGGGAGGCAGCAGUGGGGAAUAUUGCACAAUGGGCGGAAGCCGGAUGCAGCAACGCCGCGUGCGGGAUGACGGCCUUCGGGUUGUAAACCGCUUUCGCCUGUGACGAAGCGUGAGUGACGGUAAUGGGUAAAGAAGCACCGGCUAACUACGUG